AAGAUUGCCAAAGUUGUAUAUAUUCCAAAGUUUAACUGCAAUUUAUUAUCUAUUAGUCGAAUAACAAUGGAUCUAAAUUGUUAUAUAAUAUUUUUCCGGAUUUCUUUAUUGCACGGGAUUUGCAGACGAUGAGCUUGAUUGGAGCGGGGAAAUGUGAUAAGGGUCUAUAUCAGAUGGUGUUGUGAUAUGUCUCCGACUUAACUCCGUCUCCUUGAGGGGUGAAAAAGAUAAGCCUGAGAAUCACAACAAAGAAAACAAGAUUGUUAGAAGUCGUCUGGGAGGUGAUCCCGAAACGACGCUCCGAUGGUCAAGUUAGUGAAUCCCCUUGAGAAAAGGUAUCAUAUGGAGAGUAUGAGACUGGGAUUUAAGAGUCGAUCCCUUCUCUUGGGGGAGAAGGGACCUUUUAUACCUGUGGUCAGGGGAACAGAUCCCCGAUAGUAUCUUCUACUUUUUCAGGGAUGGAAGGACGAGGCGGCCUUCGAUUGGAAGAUCGUACCCUGUAGGUGGCUAUUUGUUAUUGGUGCAGAACUGCCAAUUAGCAGAUCACCAAGCACUACACCUGCCGCCCUGGGGCAACUGGUACUCAUUUUUUUUAUCUAUAGCGGGAGUUUCACUUUUAAAAGAGGGCCAAUCCUGAGGCCAAAUCAUCGGUGGUAGAAUGCGGGGUCUUAUGGACAAUGGUUUUCUCCCGGCUCUUGUCGGGUAGUGGGUUUUUGAUAGGUCGUUCUUUAGUUGACGGCUCCGUUAUCCUUGGACGUAACUCCGGGUGAGAUAUGUCAACAAGUACCCUAGGCUAGUGCAUAUCAGCGUUUGCUCGGGUAAGCAAGGUCAUUCUAGCCUUAGGCGAGUGCACGUGUUCAUAAAUGGUGGUUUCUACUGCCUAUUGACAUGACAGAAUCGUCUAAGUCGGCGGCUUCAUCAUUGUAAUUGUUCGGGUUUCCCGCAUGCAUUUAAAACCUUCCUUAUCCAAUCUGCUUUCCUUUUUUCCUUUGCUUCUUCUUUCCUCAAAGAAUGCUUCUUUCUUUUUUGUUUCUUCCACAUUUCUUCUUUUUCAUUUUUGUUUCCCCUUUGUUACCGGACCAUGGCAUCUCUGAACAUGGGUGUCGCUCCAUCUUCCAAAGAGUUUUCUGGGCUGCAGGAGCAAUUCGGUUUCCUCCCCAAUCAUGGAGUUGAGUUUCCACACAAGGAUAUGUUAUCUCUCGACCACUAGAGGGUAAGGUCGGAUUUCAUAUUUCCAUCUUCGAGGCAGGGCUCUGGUUGCCAACGACCGACUUUUUUUGACGAGAUCAUGCGUCACUACGGUUUCACUCUUGACGACCUUACCCCCAACAUUGUUAACAAGAUAGUUGGCUUUGAGAUGUCAUGUCGGACUCUAGAGGUGUUCAUGCUUUCAUCGUAAACCAGAAAGCGCCAAAGAAGAAUUGGCAGGACAGGUGGCCCUGGGUGAAUCGAGAUUUAGUCGGUUAUGGUUAUCCCUGUAGAUCCAACUUUUCUGACCGGAUUUCUACUCUUUAGGGGGCUAGCGAGCAAGUUUCCAACGCUCUGAAGAGCAUCUCUUUCAACGGGGAUGACUGGGAGGACCGUAUGUUGGCCGUUGUGGGUAUAAGUGUAGCUUGGAGGUCUCAAGGAAUGAUGCCUCAGUUUUUCGUUUUGAAGGAUGGUUGUGGGAGGAUCAGUCCAGUCGAGAUGUUUUUGAGGGGUCAUUUUCAAGGUGCCUGCCUUCAUCGGGAGGUGUCAUUGGUGGAAGGGACCUUCCCCUGCCCCCGAUAAGUGAUUUCUGCUAUAUCCCUUAUUAUAUGUGGAUUGAAUUUGGUUGGUGAAACUCAAACAAUGUUUUCUUGUGAAUGGUUUUUAUUUGGUGAACAACUUUGACAAUUUUUGUUAUUCGUUUUUUGGUGGCCCUGCAUGGCCUUUUUCUAAGCCCGAUAUCUGGCCGGUAGACAAUUUGUUUUCUUUUUUGAAGAAACAUAGCUUUGUACUUUUUUGUGGUUUACUUGUGGUUUAUUUGGAUUGAAUCUUGGGGGGUUUAUGUUGGCCACCCUGGGGCUGAGUUCUUUCCUGGACCCUGGUCAGUCCCAGAAUUGCUAUUAUGUGUUGUUGUUCCUGUUUAAGUUUGUAUUAGGUGAGAGAUUGGCAAGAAAUUUUCUCUGUUAUACGUAGGUUAUCCGUUUUGGUUACUGCCCUUUAUUUCUCUACCCUUUUUUUUUCCUUUCAGACUUUUAUUUGGAGUUUUGGGCUCCUGAGGCCCCUGUCUUCGAUUUUGAUUAUUUAAUUCAUGUCUGGAUUGUCAUCAUGGGGCUUCGACGCUUAGAUAUUGUUUUAUUGCGAGGCGAGGUUAUGAUCCUUCAUAGCCUCUAGCUAUCCCUGCAUCCUAAUUCCCACCUUCCUUAAACAGAGCGGGAUUUUUUUAAGGAACGGUUGUGAGCCUUUGAGGCCUAUGAUUGUGUUUUUUGCAAUGGUUUCAUGUAAGUGGUGCGGAUGAUUAGUCUGUCUUUGUUUUCCAUUUGUAUGAAUGCAUGUUUAUACGCGUUUGUUUCGAAUCAGAGCUUUUCAUUGCAUACUUUCUAGUGUCUUAGAGACAUCUACAUC